rnacentral:rRNA from 1 species
AUUGAACGCUGGCGGCAGGCCUAACACAUGCAAGUCGAGCGGAUGAAGGGAGCUUGCUCCUGGAUUCAGCGGCGGACGGGUGAGUAAUGCCUAGGAAUCUGCCUGGUAGUGGGGGAUAACGUCCGGAAACGGGCGCUAAUACCGCAUCCGUCCUGAGGGAGAAAGUGGGGGAUCUUCGGACCUCACGCUAUCAGAUGAGCCUAGGUCGGAUUAGCUAGUUGGUGGGGUAAAGGCCUACCAAGGCGACGAUCCGUAACUGGUCUGAGAGGAUGAUCAGUCACACUGGAACUGAGACACGGUCCAGACUCCUACGGGAGGCAGCAGUGGGGAAUAUUGGACAAUGGGCGAAAGCCUGGUCCAGCCAUGCCGCGUGUGUGAAGAAGGUCUUCGGAUUGUAAAGCACUUUAAGUUGGGAGGAAGGGCAGUAAGUUAAUACCUUGCUGUUUUGACGGUACCAACAGAAUAAGCACCGGCUAACUUCGUG